UGUGACGGGAUCAUGCGGUGCCCGGAC
rnacentral:piRNA from 1 species